rnacentral:rRNA from 1 species
UAGAUGCGAGAGUAGAGCAUAUCAAUAAGCGGAGGAAAAGAAACUAACAAGGAUUCCCCUAGUAACGGCGAGUGAAGCGGGAAGAGCUCAAAUUUGAAAUCUUCAAGGGUUUCCCUUGACGAAUUGUAGUUUAAAGAAGUGUUUUCUGUUAGAGAGGUGGUAAAAGUUCUUUGGAAUAGGACAUCAUAGAGGGUGAGAAUCCCGUAUUUGAUCACUUUCUACUAACGUUGUGAUACACUUUCAAAGAGUCGGAUUGUUUGGGAAUGCAGUCCAAAAUGGGUGGUAAAUUUCAUCUAAAGCUAAAUAUUGGCGAGAGACCGAUAGCGAACAAGUACCGUGAGGGAAAGAUGAAAAGAACUUUGAAAAGAGAGUUAAACAGUACGUGAAAUUGUCAAAAGGGAAGCGUUUGACACCAGUGUUGUUUUUCCGAAAAUCAAUUAAGAAUGGCCGGAUUUUAAGUUUCAUGACCUUAAAAGCUUGUUUCUUAGUUUUCUUGUCUUUCUUAAUGCACUUCUCGGUUAACAAGUCAACAUCAAUUUCUUUUGUUGUAAAAGGUUAAGAGGAAGGUGGCUUUACUUUCGGGUAAAGUGUUUAUAGCCUUUUAACUCUGCAAUCGGAGAGAUUGAGGUCUGCAGCGUAGAUCCUUCGGGGCUAGAUACGUUUGUGCUAAGUUAUAGCUUUUCAUAGACAACUUGUUGACUAUGUUUAGUCUUGUAGCUUACUCGCAUGCGCUAUUUUACCUACGCUUAGGAUGUUGACGCGCGUGUGUGCGUG